rnacentral:rRNA from 1 species
GGACCAUCAUGUCGGUCGUGCCUCGGUACGUACUGGUAUUGUUGGUUUCUCCCUUCUGACGAACCAUGAUGUCAUUUAUUUGGUGUCGCGGGGAACCAGGACCUUUACUUUGAAAAAAUUAGAGUGUUUAAAGCAGGCAUUUUGCUUGAAUACAUUAGCAUGGAAUAAUAAAAUAGGACGGCAUGAUUCUAUUUUGUUGGUUUCUAGGAUCACCGUA